AAAAAUCAGACUUUUGCCAUUCUCCUAGCCCUAAUCAUCCUUAUCUCACCUCUUACCUCUCUCUAACCUCUCUCAAGAGCCUCCUCCUCCUUCACUGCCACCACCGUGCGCCGCCGCCGGUGGUGCUCCAAACACCCCCAACUUACACCAUUCCCUUUAUCUCACUACCCUAUCUCCGAAUCUAAGACCCAUAUCCUCCAAAUCUCCACAAAACUCCAUACAUUUAGAUAAAUCCAAAAAAACCCUAGCUUUUCCAUUUUCAUAAUUGAUGAGGUUCCACACCCCAUUUUCACAUAAGACUUCUAUAUACGUGUAUGUCCUUCUUGGUUCUAUCUCUUUGUGUUGGUUUCAAGUCCAAACUCCGACCACUAUUUUCCGGCAAACUCGUUGGUGACCACCUGUCCGCGAAGGGUCUGUUUUAUGCCAUUUUUUCGACUCAGACGAUCCUUUCUUUCUAGCACGACGCUAAAAUCCAAUGGGUCCAGCGUGUGCUAAAAAGAAACGUUCAUUUCUAGGUCGAGCAGCCACCAUUCGUCGCCCUCGGCAUCCGUCUCGUUACUCGAUUUGGCAUUGAAUCCCUCUGUAUGGUAAAAUACCAAUUUCUUUUCCCUAUUUUUAUCCUUUCUGAUUUUCUGCUCUUGUUUUAGUAUUAGUUCUAAGGUUUAAUUUCCAUUAAUAUUCUGUUAUUUAUGUGCAAUGAGUAUAAUUAUAUUGCAUUUUGACUUUAUAAAUGUGAAUUUCAAUUCUUCGACCUAGCCGGUCGAGUAGUUCGUUAUUGCCUGUUAGUUUUGAUUUUUUUUGUUCAUCGACCUAGCCGGUCAAACCCUUUUUUUUUCUGUUCAUUAGUUCUGUUUUUUAUUCCUCGACCUAGUCAGUCACUAUUUUGCAUAGAGUUAUUAAGCCUGAAUUUUCAGUUUUAGACCUAGUCAGUCGAAUAGCUAAGUCUUUAUGUUAAUUUCAUGAAAAAAUCAAAAGAUUAGUUCAAUUGUUUGUAUAGUUAGUCGUAUAUUUAUUUGUUAUUAAUCUUGAUAGUUUAACGAUAUUCGCUUAAUUUCUGUUUCAAGCAAUAGUUUGUGAAAUUUAGUUGUUAUUCCAUGUUAGUUUGUACAAAUCGAAUUCAUUCUAAUCUAGUUUGUCUGAAUACUAUGUUCAAUUGCAUUUUGAGUCUUGUUUCUACUUUGCUAGUUCAUAUUUGGUUUCAGUGUAUAAGAUAAAUUUCAGUCAUGAGUAGAUAAAAACCGAACACUUGAGUUUAAAGUACGUGUUUGUUGGGUAUUUUACUGUUUAAACAUGCUGGAAAUGCAACUGCUCUAUUUUGUGUCAGAAUUUGGUGAAAAAUGCACUGUUUUGGCACCAAAAGUUAGUACUUUUGGACAACUUUUUGGUGAACCAAAAUCUGUCCAAAAUGACUUGUUUACCUACUUAAAGAGGUCAUUCUUUCAUACCAGGGGACAUCCCCGACAUCCCAGGAUACAUAGCUUCUGAAAAAUCUUUUACACUCAAGAAUACACAAAACUCGGGAGCAAAAUUAAUAGCUGAAUGUCUAAUAGUAAGCUGAAACUUGAGAGUUCUGGAGUGAGUUUUCUGAGAGAAAAUAACACUUUAAAAAACAAAAGUCCAUACAGCUAGUUUAUAGUUCUUCUUUCACUAAAGAUGCUGAGUUUUACGGUUUGUUCUUGGUUGUUUUGGGUUCAAUUUAUUGCUGUUUUUUCUACUAUUUCUACUGUCACUGCUGCUGCAUUUUUGCUACUGCUGUAUUUCUGCUCUUCAGGUAACCUGAGAAGCUUAUCUUCUGAUACUAGCCACUCGUGUUGUAUUUGUCCUUUUUAAUUUAAGGCCAAAUAGUCUCAGUUGUAGAAGUAAUAUCUUCUCCUUUCAUUAGUAAAGUUCAAUUAAAAGGCAGGAUAUAUUGUUAUAUUAGUGUAAUAAAAUGGGCAUGGCUCAAAUAUAACUCUUCAUGACUAUCAAAUAAUGCAUGUUUUGUUGUUCCUUUAGUUGUGAAAGAUGAGUAUGGAUGAAAAUGUUCUCCUGUUU
rnacentral:lncRNA from 1 species